AUGAACGCUGGUGGCGUGCCUAAUACAUGCAAGUCGAGCGAACAGACGAGGAGCUUGCUCCUCUGACGUUAGCGGCGGACGGGUGAGUAACACGUGGAUAACCUACCUAUAAGACUGGGAUAACUUCGGGAAACCGGAGCUAAUACCGGAUAAUAUAUUGAACCGCAUGGUUCCAUAGUGAAAGACGGUUUUGCUGUCACUUAUAGAUGGAUCCGCGCCGCAUUAGCUAGUUGGUAAGGUAACGGCUUACCAAGGCAACGAUGCGUAGCCGACCUGAGAGGGUGAUCGGCCACACUGGAACUGAGACACGGUCCAGACUCCUACGGGAGGCAGCAGUAGGGAAUCUUCCGCAAUGGGCGAAAGCCUGACGGAGCAACGCCGCGUGAGUGAUGAAGGUCUUCGGAUCGUAAAACUCUGUUAUUAGGGAAGAACAAAUGUGUAAGUAACUAUGCACGUCUUGACGGUACCUAAUCAGAAAGCCACGGCUAACUACGUG
rnacentral:rRNA from 1 species